AUGGCACUGUGGAUGUUUUUCCUUGCUGUACAUUUCGCUGUGGUUGCAGGAGAAGAUGCUGUUGAUCAGUCCGAUGGAGUUUUGAGUGCCUUUGAGGGAGAUGAAGUGACCAUCGCAUGUCAUUAUGAAACUUCUGACCCAACACCUUCCCUUCUCUGGUACAAGCAAGCAGCAAAUGGCUUCCCUGAGCCCCCCCCCUAUGACACCAAAGCAAAUGGCAUAACACCCCUUGACUCCGCCAAGAAUGUUGUACAGGAAAUACCUACAACACAGACUACAGAAGAAAUGUUCAAGGAGAGAUUUCACUCCAAAGUAAACACAGCUUCAAAGACCGUUCCUCUCACCAUCCAGAAUCUACAAGUGUCUGACUCUGCUGUGUACUACUGUGCUCUGAAGCCCACAGUGACAGCUGCACACUCAGCACUCACACAAAAACUACAUGGAUAGCUUUCAGUAUGUAAACUCUUGUGAUUAUAGUAAUCUGAUCAUCUGAAUAAAACAUUCUGACCAAAUGUUCUGAGUAAUAGAAGUAGAUGCAGUAAUCCCAACCAUCCACCGACCUGCAAACACACGAAAAUAAUCAAAUGCAAAUAAAAGAGAAACAUAUAGACCCCUGUGUACACCAGUGUUCAGUUUAUAUAUGUAUGUAGGGAUGUUGGUGGUAAAGUGGUUAGCGUUACGUUACCUUCUGAGCGGUUGACCUGGGUUUGAUUUCUGGCCACUGCAGAAUGCAUUUGUAUGUCACUUUGGACAAAAGUGUCUGCUAUAUACCUGACAUUUUCUUAGUCUGCAUUUUCAAAUGUAGGACUGCACUGUCAGAUAUGCACCACAGGGAGGCAGUGUUAAUAUGUAUCUCAGCCACUGUGACUGAGUGUGACAACACACAUGUGAGUUUGACUGAGACACAGUCACUUCAGACUGGAGACAAGGCAGGGGAACAUCAUAAGCAUUUAGGAGUGCAGAAUUACAGCUCACUAGCCAUGACACUGUGGGCUAAGACUUUAAUUUUCCUUGCUGCACAUUUUGCUAUGGUUGCAGGAGAAGAUGCUGUUGAUCAGUCCGAUGGAGUUCUGAGUGCCUUUGAGGGAGAUGAAGUGACCAUCGCAUGUCAUUAUGAAACUUCUAAUCCAACACCUUCCCUUCUCUGGUACAAGCAAACAGCAUAUGGCUUCCCUGAGUUCAUGCUGAUAACCUUUACCUACCCAGGAGGACAGACAGAGGAAAAGUUCAAGGAGAGAUUUCACUCCAAAGUAAACUCAACUUCAAAAAAUGUUCCUCUGAUCAUCCAGAAUC